AGCAUUGUGCAGUGGUAGUAUUGUAGCCUCUGAGGUUGAACUGAGGCAGGACCAUUGCUAGUUGAAAACCUUUCAUUUGUAAGCUGGGUUUAGUAAGUUGAGGGCCUCUUUCUCAUGCAGCUUUGGUACCUUAAUGAUAAUAAG
rnacentral:snRNA from 1 species